GACGAACGCUGGCGGCGUGCCUAAUACAUGCAAGUCGAACGCAGUGGGGACGGGUGAGUAACACGUGGGUAACCUCCCAUCAGAGGGGAUAACACUUGGAAACAGGUGCUAAACCGAUACUGAUGGAUGGACCCGCGGUGCAUUAGCUAGUUGGUGAGGUAACGGCUCACCAAGGCCACGAUGCAUAGGCGACGUUAGGGGGUGAUCGUGCACCCGUGGACGGUGACACGGCCCAGACUCCUACGGGAGGCAGCAGUAGGGCAUCGUCGGCAAUGGACGAAAGUCUGACCGAGCUACGCCGCGUGAGGUAAGAAGGUUUUCGGAUCGUAAACCUCUGUUGUUAGGGAAGCGGUAUCUAACCAGAAAGCCACGGCUAACUACGUGCCAGCAGCCGCGGUAAUUC
rnacentral:rRNA from 1 species